rnacentral:rRNA from 1 species
GAUGAACGCUGGCGGCGUGCUUAACACAUGCAAGUCGAGCGAGAAGUUUUGAAAAGAUUCUUCGGAUGAAAUUUAAAAUGGAAAGCGGCGGACGGGUGAGUAACGCGUAGGCAACCUGCCCCAUACAAAGGGAUAGCAUUUGGAAACGAAUAUUAAUACCUUAUGAAACUUAACUAGUGCAUGCUAGGUAGGUCAAAGAUUUAUCGGUAUGGGAUGGGCCUGCGUCUGAUUAGCUAGUUGGUGAGGUAACGGCUCACCAAGGCGACGAUCAGUAGCCGACCUGAGAGGAUGAACGGCCACAUUGGAACUGAGACACGGUCCAAACUCCUACGGGAGACAGCAGUGGGGAAUAUUGCACAAUGGGGGAAACCCUGAUGCAGCAACGCCGCGUGAAAGAUGAAGGCCUUUGGGUCGUAAAGUUCUGUUCUAGGUGAUGAAAACUGACAGUAACCUAGGAGAAAGCCCCGGCUAACUCCGUG